rnacentral:lncRNA from 1 species
UCAUAGCCAUAUUGGGGUGACACCUGCUAACUGCUGCCGUUGCUGCUGUAGGGGUGCUGAAGUCAGCUGAACUAAGCGGCGGAGAGGCCAGCAGAUGCACAGAUGUUUUUGGGGUCCAUCUUUGGCAGCCCUGAUGUGUCUGGAGAGCCUUGCUCAAGUGGACAGUUUUGGCACCAACUCCAGGCACUGCAGAAAAAAAGAGGCAUCAGCACUUUUCAAACAACGCCCUUGCAGCAGAAGGCAGGCGCCGACCUCAAAAGUGGGCUUCGUGGGGGAGAGAGUGAACAGGAUAAUCACCACACCUGACUUGGCUGGGUCAGUUUCCACAUAUGAACAUUGUAUAUACCAUCCCACCCACCAAGGACUAGAACCACAGACUCACCCUGAGGGAGAGGCAGCCUGUAGCCAAUCGGAAGAAAAAUGGAUGUUUGCACACACUGGCAAGAUUGAAGGAAGAGCAGUCACAGGACGGGGUUCUGACAAUGGAUCAGCGCCAUGUGCCCAGUGGAAGUUCUGCUUCCUGAAGGGAAAGUGUACAGGAGGCUGGGUUUUGCCCAGUGCACCCCCUUUCUUCCUGAUGUGUGAGAGGAGCAACCAUUCUGUGACCAUGAGGUGAGA